rnacentral:rRNA from 1 species
AUGGGAUCCAUCACGGCUAGCUCUGUUCGCCUAAGGCGCGCUGCGCCACGCCUGGCCGUGGACUUGGCCGGCGGCAAGACGGGGGCCAUCGCGGCUAGUGUCGCUCGCCUCCGGCACACCCAAGGCCAGCCCAAGGUUGUGGCUGACCCGCUCCCUGUGAGGUGGUGGCACGGUGGAACUGCAGCGCGUGCAGCCGGUGGCUGA